AGGUGUGUGUGCUGCAUUGCAUGACCGUGUUUGAUUUUCCAUGGCUUGCUUCUCUUUGAAAUUGUUUUCGUUUGUGCAGGUGAAAGGUUUGGAUGUGGAUGCUCUCUACAUUUCCCACAUCCAAGUCAACCAAGCACAGAAACAAAGACGCCGCACCUACCGUGCUCACGGAAGAAUCAAUCGUAAGUUAUAAUCUUAGUACUCUAACUAGGGUGAUUCCCGUGUUUUGUAAAUCUAUUUUAUCUUUUGGUUCCUUAAUCUAUUUCUCACGGAGCUUUAAUCUCCUUUUAUUAUAUUGAUGUUUAAUAUGAUUACAAAAGAUAAGUAUAUGAAAAUUGGAGUGGUUAAUUCUAACGAGUGUUGCCAUUGCACUCUUCAUAAUAUUGGUUAUGACUUUUGUUGUCAGCCUACAUGUCAUCUCCCUGCCACAUAGAGUUGAUCUUAUCCGAGAAGGAAGAGCCUGUUAAAAAAGAGGUAUUGAUUUUACCAUGUUUUAAAAAUUUUGAUAUGAUUUUCAUGUUGCAUCAAAUGUUCAUUUAUUGUUGUUCUUGUAGCCGGAGUCCCAGUUGGCAACAAGCAAGAAGUCUCAAGGCCUUCGUAGUGGUGCUUCAUCCUAAAUUGCUGUCGAUGCAGAUGAUUGAGUUACUAAAUUCCUAGGUUGUUAGUUUUGUUACUCUGUUUGCCCUAUAUUUGUCAUGGAUCGUUUUUUUGAAUGAACAGCAAUUUUGUUCAUAUAUUUUGCCAAUUUAAUUUCAGAUUAUGGGAAAUUUGUUAUGGAAAUCUUUUGCCAAUUUUUUGCAAUUAGUAUUUGGAUAUUUCCUUAGUAUUUAACUUUUGCAAUUAUACUUUGAUAGAAUUAUAAGAUUUUGGUUGAUGAUAUUUCAUGUAGUGUUUUAAAUUUAGAAGAUAUUAGUAUUUUUACCCGUAAUAACAUUACGGGAAUAUAAAUUUUUUAAAAUUACGGUCUAUUUUGUUCUGACAGUAUAGAUUAUGCAUGACAAAAGAAUUAUAAAAGCAAAUUACUUUUACAAAAAAAAGUUGUAGAUUGACAAAAGUCUUUGGCUAAAAAGAUUAAUCUCUGUAGAUAAAAAAUCAAGCAAUAAAAUUUUUAGUUAUUAUUUUUAUGUAAAAAAGUCUAAUUUUUUAUUUGAAUGAUAUUAUUUUGUUAAUUUUGUUUUUUGUAGAACAAAAAAGUAGAAAAAAUGGAGAAUAAGAAAAAAGAAAGAAAGAUAAAGAUGAAGAAUGAGAGUGAAAGUGGGAUUUUGUUAAUUUUGGAAGAAAAAUUUUAUUUUAAUUGUAAUAAAAAAAUAUUGGAUGACAUAUUUUGAUUUGUCAAAUUACUAAUAUAAAAUAUAAAUUAUAUAUAGAGUGAAAAUGGUAGAGAAAAAUAAAAAAAUGGAGAGAGAUAGAUAUAAAAUAUAAAUUAUAUAUAGAGUGAAAAUGGUAGAGAAAAAUAGAAAAAUGGAGAGAGAUAGAUGAGAGAAUUUAAGAAAUGAGUUUAUUAAUUUUGGAGAAAAAUAUUUUCUCUCAAUUUUAAUAAGAGAGUGUCAUAUGACAUUUGAUUAUUAAAUUAGCUAGUAAUAUAUGAUACAUAAUAUAUGUAUAUUUCAAUUUCAAUUUUAAUAUUUCAAUUUUAAUUUUAAUGCAAUUAAAAAAUGUCAUGUUGCACAUUUUGAUUGUCAAAUUAGUAAUUAAUCCUUGAUAUUGAUAAUGAUAUCUAAAAUAGAUAGAGUGAUUGAAUGAAUGAGAGAGAUAGAGAAAGGAAGAAGGAGGAGAGGAGAAUUCUUUAAUUUUGAAGGGAAAGAUUUGAUUUCAAUUGCAAUGAAGGAGUGACAUGUGGCACAUUUUAGUUGUAAAAUUAGUAAGAAGGAGGGAAGAAUUCUUUAAUUUUGGAUGGAAAGAUUUAAUUUCAAUUACAAUAAGAGAGUAACAUGUGGUAUAUUUUAGUUGUAAAAUUAGUAAGAAGUAGAUGAGAAUUCCUUAAUUUUAAAGGGAAAGAUUUAAUUCUAAUUGCAAUGAAAAAAUGAUAUGUGACGUAUUUUGGUUGUAAAAUUAGAAAUAUAUAAAAAAUUUUAAAUUUAUUUAUUAUUUUAUUAUAAAACAAUUUUUUCAGUUAAACCGCAGUUAAUCUGAUUGAAUUAGUGAAUCAAUAACUUAACUUAUUUAAUAAUCAGUUUGAUUCUUAAAACCUUAGUUAUAUGACACUUAACGUAACGUAUCAUCAUCUAAAAUAAUUUAACUUAAUAUUAUAUCUUUCGGUAAUUAAUUUAAUUAAUCAAUUUUUAAAGACCAAUUUAAAUAUCAGUUAAUAUUCUCAGUGACGAAUUUAAAUAUUAACCCAUUAAAAAUGGAACUUAACAACCCUUCUUUUCCGGAAAACUUACAAAAACUUAGGCUUUGUGCUUGUGAGAUUCCACUCUGUACUGAAUCAUUCCGAUUUUCCCAAUUCGGAAAGCGAAGUCGAAAAUGGGGGGAGGCCACGGCGAGGGCACAACCUACAAAGGCAUAACCAUACACCAACCUAAGCGGUGGCACACCGUCGCCGGCAAGGGUCUCUGCGCUGUUAUGUGGUUAGUUUCGCUCGUUCCUUUUCUCCGUUUCGAUCUGCAGUCGCUACUGAUCCAUAUUCACCAUGUCUCGGUUUUUGUGUUCUCCAGGUUUUGGGUGUUUUACAGAGCAAAGCAAGAUGGUCCUGUAGUAUUGGUAAAUUUUUCAAUUCUAACCUCUCUCAAGCUUUCUUUAUUUCCAUUUCUAUCAAAUUAAUCAAUCCAAUUAUUGAUUUUUGUGUGCGUUUUUUUUUAUAGGGUUGGAGGCACCCCUGGGAGGGCCACGAUGAUCAUGGCCAUGGUGGUGGACACUAGGUAUGAUCUUCCUCAAUUUCCUCAUCAUCUUAGUGUUGGAGACUUGAGUUAAUGGAAUGUGUUAUUAUCUUCAUAUUGUAUAUAAGUUUUAUGCACACCCUACUUGUUAUAGUAGACAAAUAAGCAUGGAUAUGAUUCUAUGAUGGUCUAUAAGUGCAUCAAAGUUAAACUUAUUGGUUAUUGCAAUAAAAUGCCGGCAUUCUACACCCAAUGUGUCCAUUCUGUUGCUGGCAUAUGCUAUGUGGUUGCAAUAUUUUUGUAGUUGAUGGUUAUUUUGUUGUCUAAGAUCAGUGUUGUUACUUAUUAAUCAAACUAUCAAUAGUUAAUAGAUCAUUAUAGACAUCUAUGUGUUACAAACAUUAGAAAUCAAAGUCCAAAAACAGAAGAAAGGGAACCAUAUUAUCAAAUCUGAUGAUACUUUGAUUUUUUUUUUUACCACCAUUAUGUUUUUGGAAAAAGAUUGGGAAGCAACUUUUUUUUGCCAACAUUUUUCUUUCCCUUGAAAUUUAUUUUAUCCUCCCUUUAAUCUUUGCUCGUCUACUACUUCGUUGGCUGAAAAAAGUUGCUUUCCUAGCAAAACCAUACAUUUUUUUCUUUGUUAUUUUGCGUGGUGACACCAUGAGAUAUAACUGAUCCUUGUUCAACUGUGGGAUUUUAAGGAUUAUGCGGUUUUCUUCAAAAGUUUCUUUCUAUUUUUUAUGAUAUACCUGGUCAGAUUGGUUGUUGGUUUGUUCCUAGUUUGUAUAUAAGAGAUAUAUGGUGUAUAGUGUAUACAAUACACAACUUAGUGUUUGGUAAACAUUUUGACAAGUGAUUGAGAUUUAAAAUUUCAUCUAAAUAUAGAAAGUCCAUAGACACACAAACAGGGAGGGAAAAAAAAUUUCAGAGGAUAAUUUACGUAGUGAUGUCUAACAUGUAUGCAUUUGAUUUUGCGGCAGACAUCAGCUCAGGAAAGGGGAACAACAAAUCUUGAAGAGUCUGUGAUUGCCGUUAGUUUCAAAUGUUUACCUUAUCGCAUCAAAUAAAUUUAAGCUUAAAAAGAAGAGAUUUAUUUUGCAUAAUUUCAUGAACAUUAAUAUUGUGCUUUCAGAACCAUACCCUGUCAACUUUGGCGAUAGUUAUGGUUGUCUGGAUAAAUGUUUCAUGUCUUUUGCCAUUGGGAGUAAUUUAUAUUAUAGACUCAAUAUUUGUGUAUCUAAUUGAGCACUUUGGUGUUGUUGACAAUCCUUGCCUAUGAUUUGUUCUACCAAUAACGAUAUUAAAUUACUUUCAGAGUAAAUAAAACAUUAUGACAUAUGGUUUUUGAUUUUGUUAAAAGUAUGGGUUCUCACAAAACCAAGUAUACAAUAGAAUUGUGUCAGGUAUGCGCUCUCUCUGUAUAUAUAAAUAUCAAAAAUGUUAUUUAUACACUAAAAUUAGUCAUUAAAAUUAAUUACUAAUGUAUUUGUGUAUAAAUAUAUGUAGUUUAAUUUAUUUUUAAUGUGUAUUUAUAUUUCAAUAUGUAUUUUAUACUAAUAAUUGGUUUUAGUAUAUAUAUAAUAUUCUUAUCCUUAUUCUUUGUCGUCUUUCAAAGUUGGUAUAACUCAAAAAGAGUAUACAAAACAUUACUGUGAUUGGAUAUUUUGUAAUGUGUGAACUCGAAAAUUAAAUCGAUUUUAUUNNNNNNNNNNNNNNNNNNNNNNNNNNNNNNNNNNNNNNNNNNNNNNNNNNNNNNNNNNNNNNNNNNNNNNNNNNNNNNNNNNNNNNNNNNNNNNNNNNNNNNNNNNNNNNNNUCACCAAUUUAAAUCAUAUAUAUAUAUAUAUAUUUGGUCUUGGCACCACUUUAAAUUAUUAAACACAUUUUUUUUCUAAAUCUGAAGUAUUCCUUUUUUUUGGGACUGGAAUGUCCCUUUAUUAAAUAGAGGCCCAAAUUAUAUGGGUUUUUCAGUAGGAGUUGGGUUGGAUAUGGAGGGCGUUUGCGUUAAUGGGUUAAAUCUGAUUUGAUUACUUGUGAAUAAUAAGUAUGGACAUCAAACCAAGUUGGGUUGGUCUAGUGGUUAGCUCACUAGUCCGCUUAAGCAAGUGUCGGGGGUUCGAAUCCCGCCUUGUGCAUGCAGCAACCCAUUGGCCAGCGGCAAACCCUUAAAUGGAGCUCAGUACCGCGACGGAUUAGUCCUUGACCUGCCGGGUUGGGGGAUACCGUGGGAAACCAAAAAAAAAAAGUAUGGACAUCAGGUCAUGAGGACGGUGGCUAGGUUGUUGUUAGGGCCGGAAUCCCACCAAUUGUAUGCUCCAUUUUGGUUUCAUUUGUCUUCAGAUCUUAUUAGUUUAUAUGCAAUUUAUUGAGCGUUUUUUUUUCCAUUUUUGUAAAAUUUGCUUUCAAAACGAUGUUCACAGUUACUUUGAUUCAUUGGAAUUUGUUUUUAUUUUAUAUCUUUUGGGCUCAGAUUGUUGAUUUAAGCUUAACCUGUUGUAAUGGUUGGGAUGACGUUUUGGCCCACAAACAGGCCAUUCCAUUCCGACGCUUCUGUGGUGGUGUUGGGAGGACUGCCCAUGCGGAAAACAGACAUUCCAAUGGACAAGGACCCCUUGAUUUGCUCAAGAAUGUUGAGAGCAAUGCUGAGGUGUGUGUGCUGCAUUGCAUGAAAGGUUUGGAUGUGGAUGCUCUUUACAUUUCCCACAUCAUACUUGCUGUUGCUGCUUUGCUCUAAAUGUACAUAGUACCAAUCACUUUCCUCCUUAGCACCAUGCCAGCAUUGAGUUAUGUAUGACAAAGGUCUCUCAUUUUUCAUUUUUUUUCUCUUUUCAUUAGUAGUGUUUAUUGUUCAAUAUCACCUAAAAGUAAAAAGUGUUUGUCUAUUCUAAUUACAUGCUGCAAGAAAAAUAGCAGAUAGCGUGAUUAACCUUAGGCGCGUCGACGAUGAGGUGAACAAAGUAGCGAUAGUUGCUAACAGGGCUGCCAGCCUGCCACGGUGGCUAGAGUAGCCGUGGUGAAAGCUGUUCAGAACAGAAUGGAUGGACAAUUUUGCUAUACUGAUGUCUAAGAGAACAGAAGAGAAGAGAAGGGGAAGCUCUGCAGAUAGUGAACAUAAUUCAGAAAUUAGGAUUUUAAAAGGGAAAAGAACCAAAUUGCGAAAAAAGUUUCAUUCGGCAUAUCAGCUCAUCGUUGGAGUGCCAGCAUGGGACUACUAUGAAUUCUGGAAUACACCCUAACUUUCUGAUUGCUAGUUUUGGACAGAAAUUACGUGAGGGACUACUAUAAAUUUUGAAGUGUAAUUUCGCAAUAUAUAAUGAAAGUAAAACCCUAAUUUGAGAACCCUUCUGUGUAGCCUCCGCGAAGAGGAAGAACAAGCUGCAAUCGCCGACAUGGUAAUCAAUGUUUCUUGUUCGUUCCUCAUGCUUAAAAUCGAUAUUCUCCAUUCUUCGAUCUGUUCUCACUACGCACUCUUCUUUUUUCAGGUGAAGUACUCCAGAGAACCCGAAAAUCCCACCAAGUGUAUGAACAAUUUUGGUUUCAUUGAGUCUUCAGAUCCUAUUAGCUUAUAUGCAAUUUACUGAGCGUUUUUUUUUUCCCCCUAAAAUUUGCAUUCAAAACGAUGUUAACAGUUACUGGAAUUUGUUUUUAUUUUUUAUCUUUUUGGCUCAAAUUGUUGAUUUAAGCUUAACCUGUUGUAAUGGUUGCAACUGUAGCUUGCAAGGCUAGAGGCUCUGAUUUGAGGGUUCAUUUCAAGGUACAAUGUUCUAUUUUCCUUCAUAACAAUUUACUGUCUUACAUUAAAUGCCUAAAUUUUAGAGCUAGGCUAAAUGAUAUUUGUAGCUCUGUUUCAUGUUUCAUGAAUUUCAUCAAUUUUGCCUUUAUUUAUGUGUGUGUAUGUGAAUAGAUGGGUUUUUGGAAGUAGAGAUUUAUGGUAGAUGAUUAUGGAUUGUGAGCUGGGGUAUCUCUUGCAUGCCUUAGUAAGUGGAAUAGUUUAAUUCAUGACCUUAAAUGUGUGUGUUUGUGUGCUGGGCAUAUAUCUUUAUUUUGCUUGCCUCAUUAACUGUUCAACCUCUUCCCCUCCUUCGCUUGCUUUUCCUCGGUCUGCUGAUCUCCUCCAAAGUUCCAACUUGCAAAGCCUAGUGGCUGAUAAUUUCUGGUUUAAUUACAAAUCUGAUUUAUCAAUUGAUGCUUCUAUGAUCUAUGUGUUGGUCCCUUGUAAAUCAUUUUGUACAUUGCUUUAUCAUUAUCAAUAAUGGGUUAAUUUAUUUUUCCCUUUUGUUGAUGAAAGUUUGAUAUAGCAAAUUCCAUAUUAUGUGAAUAAAAAAGAUUGCUUAUAUUAUUCAUUCAAUUAUUCUCUAUUAUUGAGUGGGAAUUAAGAAGUUUUCUUUUACAGAACACUAGGGAGACUGCCUUUGCUAUCAGGAAGUUGCCGCUUGUUAAGGCAAAGAGGUAUUUGGAGGACGUUUUGGCCCACAAACAGGCCAUUCCAUUUCGACGCUUCUGUGGUGGUGUUGGGAGGACUGCCCAGGCAAAGAACAGACAUUCCAAUGGACAAGGACGCUGGCCUGUAAAAUCAGCUAAAUUCAUCCUUGAUUUGCUCAAGAAUGCUGAGAGCAAUGCUGAGGUGUGUGUGCUGCAUUGCAUGGCCGUGUUUGAUUUUCCAUGGCUUGCUUCUGUUUGAAAUUGUUUUUGUUCGUGCAGGUGAAAGGUUUGGAUGUGGAUGCUCUUUACAUUUCCCACAUCCAAGUCAACCAAGCACAGAAACAAAGACGCCGCACCUACCGUGCUCACGGAAGAAUCAAUCGUAAGUUAUAAUCUUAGUACUCUAACUAGGGUGAUUCCCGUGUUUUGUAAAUCUAUUUUAUCUCUUGGUUCCUUAAUCUAUUUCUCACGGGGCGUUAAUCUCCUUUUAUUAUAUUGAUGUUUAAUAUGAUUACAAAAAAUAAGUAUAUGAAAAUUGGAGUGGUUAAUUCUAACAAGUGUUGCCAUUGCAUUCUUCAUAAUAUUGGUUACGACUUUUGUUGUC
rnacentral:lncRNA from 1 species